CGCGGGGGUUGGCAUGGGGGAACCCUGAUCCAGCAUGCCGCGUGUGUGAAGAAGGUCUUCGGAUUGUAAAGCACUUUUGGCAGGGACGAUGAUGACGGUACCUGCAGAAUAAGCCCCGGCUAACUUCGUGCCAGCAGCCGCGGUAAUUAUCUGCAGCAGCCGCGGUAAUAAGGGAUUUUUUUUUCCCCCCCCCAGAGGGAGGAAAGAGAAAGAGG
rnacentral:rRNA from 1 species